GUGUCUCUCGCGCAAAUAUUCAGUUUAGAAAAAAAUGAUAUUAGAAACCUCAAUAUCAUUUUUGAAGACCUAUCCAUAGAUACCCCACACGUAUGCAUGGUAACACAAUAAAAUUGCGGUUUACGGUUUAUGACGUAUUAAAAAAAACUACUUACCAAAUCUUGUUCAAACCAAUUUUCGGUGGAAGUUUGCAUGGUAAUGUACAUCAUAUAUUUUUUUUAGUUUUAUCAUACUCUUAUUUUAGAAGAUACAGGGGGGGGGGGACACACAUUUUACAACUUUGGAAGUGUCUCUCGCGCAAACUAUUCAGUUUAGAAGAAAAUGAUAUUAGAAACCUCAAUAUCAUUUUUGAAGACCUAUCCAUAGAUACCCCACACGUAUGGGUUUGAUGAAAAAAAAAUUUUUGAGUUUCUGUUUUAUGUAU